rnacentral:rRNA from 1 species
GACGAACGCUGGCGGCGUGCUUAACACAUGCAAGUCGAACGGAAAGGCCCUGCUUUUGUGGGGUGCUCGAGUGGCGAACGGGUGAGUAACACGUGAGUAACCUGCCCUUGACUUUGGGAUAACUUCAGGAAACUGGGGCUAAUACCGGAUAGGAGCUCCUGCUGCAUGGUGGGGGUUGGAAAGUUUCGGCGGUUGGGGAUGGACUCGCGGCUUAUCAGCUUGUUGGUGGGGUAGUGGCUUACCAAGGCUUUGACGGGUAGCCGGCCUGAGAGGGUGACCGGCCACAUUGGGACUGAGAUACGGCCCAGACUCCUACGGGAGGCGGCAGUGGGGAAUAUUGCACAAUGGGCGGAAGCCUGAUGCAGCAACGCCGCGUGCGGGAUGACGGCCUUCGGGUUGUAAACCGCUUUCGCCUGUGACGAAGCGUGAGUGACGGUAAUGAGUAAAGAAGCACCGGCUAACUACGUG